AUCUACAGGUCGAGCAAGUCUCGUAAAUUUCACGAUUGCGAGCCACGCUUCACGCAACCGUGUUUGCGUACUUGUGUUUCGAGUUGCGUGGUCGUGGGGAGUUAUAUUUACCAAAUUUAAAUCCGUUCCAACAUGCUGUCAAAAUUAAAUCAAUAUUGUCAAUAUGGCUACUGGGUGUAAAAGAUAAAUCUUAUUCUAUCUGUUCUUAAUGAGUUUUAGAUCAUUUUAGUUGUAUUUCUUUGUAAUUUUGUGUUGUACAAAGAUUAAUUUAACAUUUUCUCUGGAAGUAUUAAUCUAGAAAGAUAAUAUGCUUCAUUGGUGUUGUGUUUUGAAGUGUGAAAUGCAAAGUAAUUGUGAUAAAGUUCACUUUUAAACUGAACUAAAUAAGGUAUCUGAGAGACAACAAUGGUUAAAUGCAAUACAAUGUACAGGUUUUACUAGCGAAAUGAAAAUUUUCCUGUCCUGUCUGCUGUAAUCAUUUUAUAUCUGGAAAACCAGCCGACUUAAUCGAUAAUAACAAUCUCCAGAUUGGGUUCCUUCAAUAAAUAUGGGCUAUAAACACAAUGAAAUAAGUUCCCCGACUAAUAAGCCGACUUAAUCGAUAAUAACAAUCUCCAGAUUGGGUUCCUUCAAUAAAUAUGGGCUAUAAACACAAUGAAAUAAGUUCCCCAAAAUCUAAAAUGGUGUGGUAUCAAAGGAGAAUUAAAGGAAAAAAUGAAUGUGUGUGUACUAUGUACGCACGUAAGAAGAUAUUCUUCUAUUAUAUAAUAGAUACAUACAUACCUAUCUUGAAAGAUUAGUAAUGAACUACAAUACUGUCAGAACUACAUACUGUCAGUGUGCGCAGGCGCGCGGUAAAUGUACAAUUUUACCCUCAAUCGAUUCGUCGCUAAAGAAGAAUAUCUUCAAAAAUAUUCAUAUUGAAAUUAUUUAUAAGGCACUGGACUGUCUUAAAUUCUACAAUAAUACUAGAAUCAGCUGAGAGAAGUGGUCUACAAAAAACCAGGAAGGAAACGGAAUAUGUGGCUAUGAAAGGCAAAAGAAAGGUUUACAAAGCAAAUGUGACACAUUUUUUUGAAAUAUUUAGGAAUAUCAGUAAAUUGCAUUAAAAAAAUGUAUGAAAAGAUUUUGUUCAAUAAAAAUGUUUAUAUUUA
rnacentral:lncRNA from 1 species